AUUGAACGCUGGCGGCAUGCCUUACACAUGCAAGUCGAACGGUAACAGGGAGCUUGCUCCGCUGACGAGUGGCGAACGGGUGAGUAAUGUAUCGGAACGUACCUUUUAGUGGGGGAUAACGUAGCGAAAGUUACGCUAAUACCGCAUAUUCUCUGAGGAGGAAAGAAGGGGACCUUCGGGCCUUGCGCUAAUAGAGCGGCUGAUAUCGGAUUAGCUAGUUGGUGAGGUAAAGGCUCACCAAGGCGACGAUCUGUAGCGGGUCGGAGAGGAUGAUCCGCCACACGGGGACUGAGACACGGUCCAGACUCCUACGGGAGGCAGCAGUGGGGAAUUUUGGACAAUGGGGGCAACCCUGAUUCAGCCAUGCCGCGUGAGUGAAGAAGGCCUUCGGGUUGUAAAGCUCUUUCGGCCGGGAAAAAAUCGCAUGGGCUAAUACCCUGUGUGGAUGAUGGUACCGGAAUAAGAAGCACCGGCUAACUACGUGCCAGCCGCCGCCGUAA
rnacentral:rRNA from 1 species